UUUUUCUUCUUAAUUCAAAGCUGAAAUUUUGGAUAGACUCAUCAUAAUAUUUCUAUUUAGGUUUCCCUGAUAUAACUAAAAAAAUGUGAUGAUAUGCUGCUUGAACUAGUCGACUGUGGUAACCAAAUUGUAAGACAAAAUGCACAAAUACUAUUGCAAUAGAUUUAAAAAAACAGCCAGUUUAGGACUAUUUGCUUCCAAAAAUCGAAGUUAGCAUCCCUCUAUGUGGAAGAUCAAAUAGUGGAUUUUUUUUUUUUUUUCACAAAAAUCAAUAGCAUAUGUUUGCCAAAGUUGUAAAAAGAAUAAAUGAGUGUUGACUAAAGCCACCGUUAUUAGAGGUUAAGUGCACAAAGAGGUAGACCCAUGGUUGGCUGGGGAUAUUAUGGACAAAUUUAACAGAAAUGUUUUAGCAGACAUUAAGGAUUCAAAUGUCAACUGCAUUUUCCUUCCACAGACUUGCCUGUCUUAUGAAUACUGGCAGGAUAUCUCUCAGUUUUUUUUUAUAUUAACCAAUACUAAAUUUGCCUAUGUGUUUGCUAAAAGACAAAAAACUAUUGAAACAAUCAUAACCCUGUGAAUCAUUUACCUUCAUUUCAAACAAUAAUGGGUGUAAUAAAAAAAUGUUCUUUUCAAAUUCUUCAACUUUUUCUUUACUUUCAUUUGAGUCAAGAUUGUCUUUGUUUUCAUGGUGUCUUCAUGUCAGUGUUAAUCUAUUAACAUUUCAACCGGCUAAUGUGAGUUGAAAUGUUUCACAAGGCUUUUCCACUUUAACUUUAUUGGUCACAAUUUAAAAAAAAAUUUGGAACUGGGUCAAAACUUCAGAACUGACCAAAAGAAUAUUUUAUUGUCAAGAAGAAAUAAAAACAUAUUAAAGGCUAAUACUUUGUUAUUAGAGGUUAAGAGUGGUUGUUAUUCUGUGUUACAUUUUUUUAUUAUUUUAUAUUUGUUCAAUAUGCAAAUGAAUUGUAUUAACCUUGCUAAGAGUGCAAAAUAACAGGCUGCUUUCUAUGGAACAGAACUAUGACAAAGACAAGCAAUUUAGUGCCAAGUCUUUACCAGAGAAUGAAUGGCUCGAUUCAGCUAAUUCAGCUUCUCUGGACCAUAUAUUAAAAGAUGUUGCAGAGAGGUGAAAAGCAUUGAACCAUCUGAAUCAAUUACCCAAAGAGCAUUAAGCUGAUUUAUUCCAACUCUAAACCCAAAGCUUCUGCAUUAGUUCUGCUUUGUCAUCAGUUUAACUCCUGCCUCAUUUCCAUAUCAGUGUAUGAAAUGAAAUAUGUGAAUUUCUUAUGAAAUUUCAUGCAAUUUUCAUAUUGUGUGUGUGGUAAAUACUAAUAUUUACAGUGAUAAAAAGAAUUCUGCUCUAUAACAAUAUUUACUUUUUUGAAGUGUUAUGGAAGAAAAUGUUAACACUGUGCCUUUCUGUUUCUGUCUGUCUCUUAGUCCUGAACUCAUUAAUACGUAUAUUACCAUCUGUCAGCCUCCCCUCCUUGCUGAGGGAUUUCAAACUGCUGAGCAUGGUUAAAUCCUUAGCCCUUGUCUUAGUGACAGAGAUACCACAUAACCAAGUUGGCGUUACUGGCUUCACGAGCUGUUUCUGUUUUCUAUGGCCUAACAAAUGCUUAAGAAACAGAAGCAUGGUUUAAAAGAGAAGCAAAGAAGAUACCUGUCUCAAUUUCUGAUGUUCUUCAAUAUUUCUCAAAUCUAAAAUAUAAAUCUUCUUCAAGCUUCUGAAAGCAGUUUACAUCUGGAACUAUAAAAUGGCAAAUGCUGAUGAAACAAAUGGCAGCCAGGAUCCAGAGGCUCCGGAGGAAGACCUGGAUGAUGAACAGCAAGCUUUGCUGCAUUUCAGUAAACGUGUAGAAAGUCAGCAUGCGCAACCAUGGGAGCAAUGGACCUUCAGAGAAAAGGCAAACUAUUGUAUGGAUCGUAUCUUUCUUGCCUUUUUAAUCAUCUUUGUGAUGAUUUUGUUCAUCGAAUGUUUGUAUAAAAUUUGGUAUGUGUCAAAUGUGAAGAAGAUAGCAGAGUUUGUGUCAGACUCUGUCGUGUUUCUGAUCGACUGGCUCUUUACUCAAGAGAAACAGGAGGAGCUGGUUGAAUUGUAGGAUAUGAAAAAAGGUGUUCACAUCAUUACUUUUACACUUUUUGUAUCUCGUGCGAUAUUUAUGUAACAGUGAAAACUGUUCCAGUUUCUACAGGAACGACACUGCAGUCUAGCUCCUAUAGACUGUAGUAACUACAGGAACUACAGCUACAUAAUAAAACAAAUAUUUUGCAACUCUG